AUGUGUUUGAAAGUUUCUGCUAUUGAUAGGUUUAGUAUAUAUUUGCACAUAAUAUUUUGGUGGCCGGGCACCUUAUCCAACAAAAAAAAAAAAAAAACCUUAUCGAUAAGCUUAUAGCUUUUUAAAGUAAUUUGGAUCUUUUAUUUCUAGGGUUUAUAAGAAAGAGUUGUUUGUGUUGAAGGUGAUAAACUGGAUCUUUAUAUGUACAUUAGGAGCACUAACUUUACAAAUUAUUCAUGAUUGACCUGGCUUCAUUUGGAAAAGAGUAAAAUAUGCGCAGCUGUGUAUGUGCUGUAUAAUCAUAAGUUUGUUCCAUCUCUAAAAAAAAAUUAUAAGUUUUGUUAUGCUUCUGAAAUUUAGACUUAUUUUUGCUUAGCUAAUGAGUAGCUUGAUAGUAAAAGAGUAAGUGCACCAGAGCAGGAAACUCUCUCUCUUUCUUUCUUAGGGGAGAUCGGUUUUAUGGCCAAUCACAAAUAUUCUCUUAGUUAUAUUUCCCUUUGCAUAGGAGAUCGCUAAAUAAAACACAAGAGAUAUUCAAAUUAUAAUUUGUCAUAUCAUUUGCUCCUCUAUUAGUCACAACUCGCAACUAUUGCAGCCUUGUAGGUGCCAAUUUGCUUUGGUCAGUUAAAUAAAUAAGAGCAUGAGUUGGCAUAAUGGAAAAAUAGUAUGGCAGCUCUUAUUUGCACUUUAUCCGGAAAAUGAUACAAUUAGCAGUCCACUGGUAGGCUGAUCUACGCUUACAACAAUAUUGAUUGGUUAUGAUACAGAAUGUUAUUGAUUCUGACUUAAGUCGACUUUUAGCGAAUAUCUCUACCUCUGUUGAUGGAUGAAGUGUAGCGGCCAAGAUAGAUGGUGAUCUCUUACUUUAAGUAUGAGUGUGUGCAUGUUAUUAAUCUCAUUUAGUACAAGUAAAAUCAAAGUGGGUAAGAUAGAGCUCGUCAACCAUGCAACUAUGAAGUAUAUGUACAAAUAUAAGAGUGAAUAGUGGAUAUGUGUUGUAUCAUCUAACACUGAUGUGUUCCCUUUUAAAUAGAUUUGUUUUUGGUGUAUUUGGAAAGAUCCAUGUUAAGGCCCUACUCAUCCGUGAGGGUUGUGCCAAUGCUCUAAACUGCAGAUGAAAAAUGUUCGUUAGGAAGAUUGCACAAGUCUUUGUAAAAGCAAGUUAUAUAUGCUAUUUAUAUGGAUGCCAUACACUUUAUGGAGACAAUUAGAAACCAAAGAAUCAAGACAUGAAGGAAAAGAUAACAAAAGAGCUAGAAAAAAACAACAACAACAACGACGACAUACCCAGUGUAAUCCCACAAGUGGGGUCUGGGGAAGGUAAUGUGUACAUAGCGUUACCCCUACCUUGAGAAGGUAGACGUUUCCAAUAGACCCUCGGCUCAAGUAAAGCAUAUAAAAAAUAUAGGAUGUAAAGCAAAUACAGUGAAGAAGCUAUACUGAAAAUAAUAGAGAGAGAAACGAUGGUAGUAGCAACAACAAAUAAUGUGAAAAUCGAAGCCGCCAAGGAGACAACGGGUAAUACUAAAAUUGUAGAAUAAAAUAGUAGGAGAAUAAUUUAUAACAAUAUUGAUAGUGUGGAGAGAGGCCCUGGAGGCAAAAGGUUUCAAGUUAAGCAGGGCGAAGACAGAGUAAGAGUACCUGGAACAGCUUCAAGUAUCUUGGGUCCAUAAUCCAAGGAGAUAGGGAGAUUGAUGCUGGUGUCGUACACCGUAUUGGGGCGAGGUGGGCGAAAUGGAGGCUCGACUUUGGGGUACUAUGCGAUAAGAAAGAGUUGCCAAGGCUUAAAGGUAAGUUCUACAGAGUGGUGAUUGGACCAGCACUUUUGUAUGGGGCAGAGUGUUGGCCAGUCAGGAAUGCCCACGUUCAGAAUAUGAAUGUGGCGCAAAUAAGGAUGCUUAGAUGGAUGUAUAGGCAUACUAUGAUUAAGAAUGAAGUUAUACGGGGUAAGAUGGGAGUGGCCUAUGUGGCUGACAAGAUGAGGGAAACGAGGCUAAGAUGGUUCGGACAUGUGAAGAGGAGGUGCGAGGGAUGCGCCAAUGAGGAGGUGUGAGAGGUUGGCCAUAGCAGGAGUUGGGAGAGGUAGAGGUAGACCGAAGAAGAAGUGGAGGGGAGGUGAUUAGACAGGACAUGGCAGAGCUGCAGUUGACUGAGGACAUGACCUUGGAUAGGAAGGUGUGGAGGUCGAGGAUUAGGGUAGAUGGUUAGUAGGUAAUUGAGUGUUAUUGUACUUUUAGUCAUAUGAUUUUGGGUAGUCGCGUAGUUUCUUUUUCGCUAAUGUGUAUUGAUAUAUGUUACUACAUUUGUUUUUUACAUUUGCUAUUUUGUUGUCCCUUUUUCUUUCCUACGUUUUUGCAUCAGUUACAUUUCUUUUGAGCCGAGGGUCUAUCGAAAACAGCCUCUCUAUCCCAUAAAGGUGGAGGUAAGGUCUGCGUAUAUCUUAUCCUCCCCAGACCCCACUUGUGGGAUUACACUGGGUAUGAUGUUGUUAUAAUACUGUAAGGAAAUUAGAGAAGGCUUGACUACCUACUAACCUUCUACUAUAAUUGUCGACCGCCCUUCCAAUCUAGGGUCAUAUCCUCUGUAAGCUGCAAGUGUGUCAUGUCUUGUCUAAUUACCUCUCCAAUACUUGUUCGGCUUAUCUCUACCUCUCCCCAUACCGACCAUAGACAACAUCUCACACCUCUUCACGGGGUCAUCUAUGCGCCGCCUCUUCACAUGCCCGAACCAUCUCAGUCUCGCCUUUCGCAUCUUGUCCACCACGGAGGCCACUCCCACCUUGCGCCUGUAUAUCUUCAUUCCUAAUCUUGUCUCUCCGAGUAUGCCCAUACAUCCAUCUAAGCAUUCUCAUUUCCGCUACUCCCAUCUUUUGGACGAAUGAAUUCUUGACUGGCCAACACUCUGCCCCGUACAACACAGUUGGUCUAACAUCCACUCUAUAAAACUUACCUUUAAGUCUCGGUGGCACAUUCUUAUCACAUAGGACACUGGAUGCGUGCCUCCAUUUCAUCAACCCCGCUCCAAUACUUUGGUGACUUGCUGCUAUAGAUUCCCGAAAGUUCUUUAUAACAUAGGUUUUAAUAGUAGUAGAGUAUGUUUGAAUGUUACUUGUAGCAAUUUCCAUCUGAACCCAUCCCCAGGCCAAGGCAAAAAGUUAUAAUGUUUCAUUAAUUUUAAAUUUAAUACGUAAAAUACAUCUUAUUGCCUAUAAAUUUAUUCAUUUUGGUAUUUUUUUUUAGUCUCUUAUACGAAAUAAAAAACCUACUCUAAUUAUUCGGUACGGUUACAGAUUUAUAUCAAAACCUAUGGUUUUAAACUAAUAACGAGGUUUGGUUCGGUCGGUUAUCAGAGAAGAAUUGAUGGCCCUUUCUUUUAUAAUAAAAGGAUCUGGUUGUGUGGUCGAAAUCAUUACUUUUCCAAUGAGAUGUUAUCGUGUAUUUUAGCCGAAUGUCAGGUUCCUAUACAAUGGUUCUUCAAUGAUAGGCCUCAAAGUUUGAUGAUGAUUUGACUAUAUCCAUUUCAGGUUCCUAGUAUGA